UGCGUAGGCGGAACGAUAAGUCAGUGGUGAAAUUCUGCAGCUUAACUGUAGACGUGCCAUUGAUACUGUCAGUCUUGAGUAUGGUCAAGGUAGGCGGAAUGUGUAAUGUAGCGGUGAAAUGCUUAGAUAUUACACAGAACACCGAUUGCGAAGGCAGCUUGCUGGGCCAUUACUGACGCUGAUGCACGAAAGCGUGGGGAUCAAACAGGAUUAGAUACCCUGGUAGUCC
rnacentral:rRNA from 1 species